rnacentral:rRNA from 1 species
GUAGGCGCGAGCGUUGUCCGGAAUUAUUGGGCGUAAGAGCUUGUAGGCGGUUUGUUGCGUCUGCUGUGAAAGACCGGGGGGGCUUAACCCCCGGGUAUUGCAGUGGGUACGGGCAGACUAGAGUGCAGUAGGGGAGACUGGAAUUCCUGGUGUAGCGGUGAAAUGCGCAGAUAUCAGGAGGAACACCGAUGGCGAAGGCAGGUCUCUGGGCUGUAACUGACGCUGAGAAGCGAAAGCAUGGGGAGCGAACAGGAUUAGAUACCCUGGUAGUCCAUGCCGUAAACGUUGGGCACUAGGUGUGGGGGACAUUCCACGUUUUCCGCGCCGUAGCUAACGCAUUAAGUGCCCCGCCUGGGGAGUACGGCCGCAAAGGCUAA